CCAGCCGGAGCGCCGAGCCGAGCCGAGCCGACCGGACCCGACCGGACCCGACCCGCUGCCUGUCGGGCGCUGUUCUGCUCACGGCUACACGGCGCUGCGGCCGGCCGGGCCCGGGGCACACCGGGAGCCCACCGGGAGCCCUCGCCGGCUCAGAUGGGCUGCACUCAGGUGCAGGGUGUUCAUUUUCCGAAAAUCGGGCUGUUGUUUUUUUGUAACAGCAAAGGUGAAGCGCUGACGGGCUCCGAGCGCUACAGGCGUAGCCAUAGUAACAGCGAUAGAGUUGAUCAAAAUGAUACUAAUUCACUACAGAGUGUGAUGAACUGUGUCAUGUCGGCACACUUUCUUUGCCCCCUUCUUCUUCUGGCCCCCUGGCGUGUUAUUUUCUAUCUCCUUGGCCGCCUGGGUGAAGUUGUAAAGAGUGAAUAUUUUAAAAAGGCUGCCGCACAGUAGGUGCUGUGUAAGGCUUUGGCUGCAGUCCAGGAACAAACCACUUUUCUUUUUUUUUUAGGAAAAAAAAAGUUGUUUCUUCUCUAAACGCCUGUCGUUACGAAGCGAGUAAAAAAAAAAGGAAUUCUUGUGGAAUUCGAGUUGUCCCUUUUCCAAACUACACCUUUAAUUCAGGCGCUGGGAGAGUGAGUGUUGGCGGUCAGCGCGGACGUGAUUGUGUCGUUCAAGAGGCUGUUUUUCGUCGGUUCUUUCAGUUUUGCUGCCGUUUUGAGUGUCUAAAACUUUUUCUUUCCCGUUGGCUGACGAAUUGGUGUGGUGUCGUACUUCAUUUUUAUAUCGUUUAGUCAAAAGCUGACCCGAUCGUUAUUUAAAUGCAUAUCAGGUUAUGUGCCCACCUAUUCCUGCUUUUAAAGCCUCAGUUAAGCUUUUAAAACGCUGAACACACGAGUUGGAAGCGGAGUACGUGCCGGGACCCAGGAGUAGGGAUUAAAUUCUUCCUGUUGCCAGCCAGAUUAGGGCCCGGUGUAAUGGCCCGUCCGGCUCGGGGUGAUAAUUAAUUAUAAUAAGGGCUCACGCUAAAAUAGAGGCCGUACCUGAAAAUGACGUCUGAUCUGGCCUUUAUUCACUGAAAAUUUAACAACUGUUGAGAUCUGCAACUUUUUUUUCCCCCCCGAAAGUUUUUUUUUUUCCUGCUGAGCCCGAUCUGCUGGCCCAGCUGGGUUCUUCUUAAAGCAACAGUAUCCCUGCCGGCGAAGGGCUGCGGGCUGCCCCGCUGGGGUUCGAGCUCGGCGCGCCCGCAGGGCAGUGGGCCGGAGCCGAGGGAGGCCAGGAGCGUUCGGCAGUGGGACUGAACGCCUGACAACCCCCCCCGUUAGCAUCCGAAAGGCGAUCGAGAGGGGCUGACACGGGAUCGGGAGCAAAGAUAAUCCGAGGUGGUUCGGAAGGAGGCAGCCGAGUUCGAGCCGGGCGCAGGACGGGAGUCUGGGACGGUAUUGCGUCUUCAUCCUGCGGGCUUUGACAUGGUGGUGCUGCAGCAGUCCUGCUCUGCCUGUGCUGCCGAAAUCGUUGCCUCAGGGGGUCCCCGCAGACAGAGAGACAGAGCGUCUGUCCACGAGAGGCACUGCCAGCAAUGCUCAGCAGCGCCUUGAACAAAAGCUGAGGGGGCGAGCACAGCCCCCCUCCCCUCCCCCCUGAGCUUUUGGGCGCGGGGCAGUACACACUCUGAGUGACCUCAGGUGGCGCCUUCUUCCUUCCAUGUUGAGACGGACACCUAGAUAAAGAGCGUUGUUGCUCCCCGGGCACACCCACAGUGGAGGUUCUCCACACGGGGUUGACUGGAAACCUGCUGGCCUGAUUUCCAGAGCUCCCGGUGCCUUCGGCUGGUACUGUCCCUGCGAGGAGCCCCACAUGCCUACGCAGUGAUCUGACUGCUCCUGUGGGCCUUCCUCCUGGGUUUGUACCGGCACCUGCCUUCUGAUCUGUGGCUCCCAACAGUCUGGGCCCAUUGUACAAAGCUCCUAAUCUGCCAAUCGACCUUUUGUGCAGAUAAAGAUUUAAAAUUGUA